rnacentral:lncRNA from 1 species
GCACCCUAGAAAGCAGGGUUAAAAAAUAAUCUAAACUGUACAUUUACCUUAUGACUACACAAUGCCCUCCAGGCAUUUACACAUUAAAUUAAAAUGUCUGUACAAAACUUGUAUACAAAGAUUCAUAGCAGUUUUAUAUGUAAUAACUAAAAACUGAAAAUGGCAAAAAUGUCCACGAACACAUGAAUUGAGAAGUUUCUCAUGAUACAUCCAUACCAUGGAAUGCUACUCAGCAAUAAAGGGAAUGAACUUUUGAAAAACACAAUAUGCAUAGGCCUCAAAGACAUUGUGCUGAGUGACAAAGUGAGCCCCAAAGGUCACAUACUAUAUGUCAAUAGGUAAGUGUUUAAACAAACUGGUUUGCCCAAAGCAUAAAUACUACUCAGCAACUAAAAAGAAAACUUCUCAUACAUGCAACAACUUGGAUGGGUCUCAAGGUAAUAAUGCUGAAUGAAAAAAACAACCACAAAAUAUGAUGUACUGUAUGAUUCCACUUAUACGCUAUUCCAGAAAUAAAAGUUUAGGAAUGGAAAAAUGUUUAUUGUUUGGAAGGUGUUAUGGAUAGUGGUGGUAGAAGCUGGGUUUGUAACUAAGGGGGAAGCACAAAGGAGAUAUUUGUAGUGAUGGAAUAAUGCUGUGUUUUGAUUUUAGUGUUUACACUAAUUUACAUAUGACAAUACACAACACAAUGCAAAAAUGUCAAAUUCCUGGUUUUAUACUGUAAUUAUGCAAGAUCUAUC